CACGCAUCUAGGCAGUAAUUAGAAGUGAGAUCCCCGAAGGCCAAGCAACCAAAUAUACAUCGACGGGGAGCACCAGCGUUGGAAGAGUGCGUAUCCUUCUCCGCUCGCCAUGGCUAUGAUCUCUAGGAACACCGCCUCACGCCUUCCUAUCAUCCUCUCCCAGCACCGUGGAGCUGCCCUCUCUCUCCACACCACCGUCCCCUCCCUCUCCCCGGAGGCAGCGCCACCCACUCCUUAUGCCAGCCCACCGCCCCCUUCCACCACUUCCCCUGCCGGCAUUUCCAAGGCAGCGGAGUUCGUGAUUUCCAAGGUCGAUGAUCUUAUGAACUGGGCUCGCCGCGGCUCCAUCUGGCCCAUGACUUUCGGCCUAGCUUGCUGUGCCGUUGAAAUGAUGCAUACCGGUGCUGCUCGCUACGAUCUGGACCGCUUUGGUAUCAUUUUCAGGCCCAGUCCUCGCCAAUCUGAUUGUAUGAUUGUCGCUGGUACCCUCACCAACAAGAUGGCCCCUGCUCUUCGCAAGGUUUAUGAUCAAAUGCCUGAGCCAAGGUGGGUCAUCUCCAUGGGCAGUUGUGCAAAUGGUGGGGGAUAUUAUCACUACUCAUACUCUGUUGUCCGAGGCUGUGACAGGAUUGUCCCUGUAGACAUUUAUGUUCCAGGAUGCCCUCCCACUGCGGAGGCCUUGCUGUAUGGGCUACUCCAGCUGCAGAAAAAGAUCAACAGACGCAAGGAUUUACUCCAUUGGUGGACCAAAUGAGUGCUUUUUAAUUUGUUACUUGCAGAGUUCGCAACAUCUUUAUGAUCUAAAUAAAUACAAUUAUGUAUCUGUCUGCUGCUUAAGUGCUGUGUGGAUAGAGACUCUUUCUGUUUUUCAUUUCUAAAUCCGAAUCCUUUUUGGUAUUUACUAAAGCCUUUUGCCUUUUGCCUUUUGGUGGCUGCAAAUCCUGAAAAACUUAUUAUAACUUGGACGUGUAUGAACUGCCUUCAUUAUUUGCUUGUGUAAUUGUUACUGCUGAUGUAAACUUCUCUUUUAGUUUAUUUUUGUUACUGCUGCAGCAUGAUACUGUAA
rnacentral:misc_RNA from 1 species